UCAUUUGACCAUCAAGGAAUCUGAUGCCCGGAGAAGUUAGUGGAUCUGUCCUGUCACAGUGGUUUGAAUCCAUGUCUGUACAGUCUAAGCCUCCCUGCCCAUUCAUGGGUGGGGCAGCUCUGAGGUGAGUGUUGGUGGGGCAGGCCGACCAGAAAGUGAGCGCAUGAGUGGAACAGGAGCGUUGCUCAGCCUCUCCUGGCCUACUGUGAUUUACACCAUUAAGCACAUCAGCAAGUAUCAGCCUUUCUCAAACUGUGUCUGUAAUUUAUUACCAUGUAACUAGUGGUCAAUGAAAUGUUAACAUGUGUCCUAUGAAAGGUUUCUGUGUUCAAAGAAAUUUGGGUUAAAAAAUGGCCCUUUAAUGGAAAGACUAUUCAAAGCCUAAGGCUCUUAUGCACUGUGAACAAGAGAGAGUAUGUUCUGUUUGCCAAAUUUAUUUGAUCUCGGGAGCUCUCCUUGUUUUGGAUGGUCUCCAUUUCUAUAGCUGUAUUCAUUAUUAGUCUCCUUCAUUUGGUAAAUUGUAUACGUAGUUCAUUUCUGGGAGAGAGGUUAGGUCUUUUAAUCUUUUCCUUGAAAUGUUCUGUGUUACGAGAACUUCUAUAUAUUUUACAGCUCAGAACUUUGUUGGGGUACGUGGAGAACAAAAAGGAGAGGUCAGGGGCAAGGGUCUAGACCCUGAGGGUCAGCAGAUCUGGCUCAAUGGGAGGAGUUACACAGCCUGGAGAAAGAGUGGGUUAUGCAGAGAAAAUGGUGAAGUGGGUGGCUGUCCACACAAGGGCGAUGUGAAAAGGCAAGCCAGAGACAUGAGACUCUUGCAGUAAAGCAGAGUCAAGGUGGAAGAGGAGAAAAAAGACAAAAGGUGAAAGUGCUGUUCCAUGAGCGUGCUUGGCCCUGUGAAGGGGGGGUGGGUGGUGGUGGUACGGUGCCUGUAUGGACUCUCACAGCCAAGCGUCACUUAGGCUGUCACCACUGAGACUGAGGCAGAAAUAAGCCGGGCGGGAGAGGCAGUGGAACAGAUUUGCAUUCAACUCCUGCUCCCUGGUUCCUGGUUUGUGGCUUAGAGUAAGUGCCUUCAACUCUGUCUCAUCUCUUGACCACUCAGAGCAGGUAGGAGGUUUAAUGAGAUAACGAGAGCAAGCCUUCCCUGUCAUUGUGGACACACCCAAGGCACGAUCCUCAGCCUCUUACUCUUACCUUGGUGUGGGGCUCAGAGUCCCUUUAUCUGUCUUGGAUUUCACCUUCCACCCAUCUGACUUCAUCUUCCCCUCCACACGUCUUCCUUUCCCUAUAUUGGGCUUAGGGCGGUUCACCCUCGGGGAUUCUGGACAAAGAGUUUCCCAAUAACUGGGGCUUUGCUGCUCUGAGAACUGACUGACCCCCAGCCUGGAGAUGGAAUCUAAAAUUGGAAGCUGGAUGAGCAGAGCAGCUCCCCACACCUAAUGACCCUGUUUCCUGGUGGCCGUCUCAGACUGAGAGAUCCCUCUGGGGAUCGAUGGCUGCCUGUUCACUCCAUUUCUGUAUGUCGCAUUAAAUCUCUGCCAAACAUUUAAAAAGAAUUCUUAACUCCAAUAUGACGGGCCUGUUGGCAGUGUGAAAUUAAGAGAUUUUUUAAUGGUGUGUUUUUUUUCUUUGCCACUUGACUCUAUUCAUUACAUAUUCUUUUUUGAAAUGUGAAUCCAAACUUCCAUUGUAUACUUUUUUUCCUGCCAUUAUUGUACAUGAUGAUCUCUGUCUAUUACAUCUGAAAGAAAGAACACUGGAAGGUCUGAAAUGGCUGUUGUCAGCUUUCAGAAUUCCAGACAGAUGACUUCAAUCUAUCUGAAGGAACAAUGGAUUAUUUAGGAGAGUUGCUAAGAUGCUAACCUUGCAGAACAUUGUGCUUUUAAAAGUGUUGAAUGAGUAAAUUUAGAAAAUUUCUUAUUUCCCCUCUGAUUUGUAAAUGUAAUAGAAGUUCAUUGUAAAAACUAGAAAUGCAGAAAACUAUCAUCAAAAUUAAAAUUAUAGCAUAUUCUUUCAUUUUCUAAGCCUCUCUCUCAUAAACUAAUUAGUGAUCAUACUGCAUGCAUGGGUUGUCUUCAUUUAUUUAAUACUGUAUUAUGAAGAAUUUCUUACCUCAUUAAAUAAUCUUCCAUUCAUGAUUUUAAUAGCUACUUUGCUAUGUGGACGUGCCACAGAUUAUUUAGCCUAUCUCUUAUUGCUACAUUCCCCUAUUGUUGGGUAUUUAGGUUGCUGCUAAUUAUUUUUUGAAUGAUAAAUAUCGCCAUGAUGAACAUCGUUGUACAAAUAUCCCUGUGUGCAUCUCUAAUUUCCUUAGAGUUAUUUCUGAAAAAGCAUGCCCUAAUGAAAGACCCUGGAUCUGUGAUUCCAAAUGGACUUCUGGAACCAUGGAACCAAUUUGCAUUCUCAUCAGAGACUGAUGGCCAUUCUGCUGCACUUCACUGACCUAGGUACAAAACAACCCAACACAAAGCAAAAGCAAACGAAGCAACAUUGCCGAUUUACUAUGUGAACGAUAUCAUCUCAUCAUUGCGUUAUGUUACAUUUCUCUGAAUUCACAGGAGGUCGACUGUUUUAUCUACUGUUUUCAGUAGCCCCUUCAUCUGUGGUUUCACUCUCCUCAGUUUCAGUUACGCUCGGUCAACCGCAGUCUGCAAGUUGAUCCUCCUGAUGAAUCAAUCACAUCGCCAGAAGAGCUGGGAGGAAGUUGCUGGAAGGAAGAGAGAGAGCGCCAGUUGGCCUAGUUCUAGGUACAGCCCAAUGGUCCUGACUGUGGCCCAUUUUUGGAAUUAAUUACGAAGAUUUCUCUUCCCUUAUCACAUGGAAGAUAAAAUUUGUGUAACUUGAGCUUUUGAUAUAAUGAUCCUGGAAGAUUGAUGAAAAAUAUUUAAGGCAGCAUUUCUCAAUCUUGGCACCAGGAACAUUUCAGGUCAGAUGAUUUUUCUGUUGCAUGGGCUUCCCUGUGCAUUAUAGGGUGUUUAGCAGUAUCUCUGGCUUUUACCCACUGGAUGCCAGUAACAAAACCCCUAUCUCCCAGUUGUGACAACCCAAAAUGUCUCUAAACAUUGCCAAAUGUUCCAGAGUAGGCAGAGGCAAAACCACUCCUGGAUAAGAACAAUUAUUUUAACAUGUCCUGUGGAACACCUAGCUUUUAGGAAUGCCACAGUUCCUGAACUCUUAAUCGGCCAUAUUUUAGAUCACGAAGUAUCAACAAGAUAAACAUUUUAAUGGAAUUUCUGGAAGCAUGAAUAGCAACAGCUGUGUUGCUAUUUUUCUUUCCAGCCAGUGCUUUUUUGGACAGGAUGUGGAUUAUUGUGAAGACAUGAGAAGUCUGCAUUUGGAAGUCCUAUCACUUAGGGGUUACUCAGGGACAGAGUGGCCACUCUGGGUAUUUUAAUCAGAGAAUGUAUAUGGAGAACUGGGAGGUCACAGAAUCCUUCGAAGAGUGGGGCAUGAGAGUCCAGGUCCGGGAGGGUGCUGCUGGCUUUCAAGAAAUCCGGAAAACAGGAGUCAUAGAGAAGCUUGCUUGGAGAACAGAGGUUGCAGUCUGCACAGCUUUGUAGCUGCAGUGUGAAUCAUUUUUAGGAGGCGACCUGCAAGCUGCUGGUGCGUCCACAUAUCUGCCGUUGGCUGAUGCCCCUGAGCCUGUCUGUAGCUGCUGUGGGACAGAAUAAUGGCUCCUCCUUCGCUUCUCCACGCCUCGUACAAAUGCCUCUCCAGCAGUCAUAUCGAACUACAGUGCUGCUGGCCAGGGAGUCUCUGAAAUGUAGUUUCUAGGCUUUCUGCUCUGGAGUACCAGGAAGAUGCUGCGAAGGAGGGCAUCAUGCAGAUUGAGACAAAUGGAGAGGAUAUUGUAACAAGGCCGUGCAUCCUUAAUCAAGUGUCCCUUUUUAAGCAUCAGAUUCUAAGAGGGACAGAGCUUACUCCUG